UACGUAGGGUGCGAGCGUUGUCCGGAAUUAUUGGGCGUAAAGAGCUCGUAGGCGGUUUGUCGCGUCUGCUGUGAAAAUCCAGGGCUUAACCCUGGACCUGCAGUGGGUACGGGCAGACUAGAGUGCGGUAGGGGAGAUCGGAAUUCCUGGUGUAGCGGUGAAAUGCGCAGAUAUCAGGAGGAACACCGGUGGCGAAGGCGGAUCUCUGGGCCGUAACUGACGCUGAGGAGCGAAAGCAUGGGGAGCGAACAGG
rnacentral:rRNA from 1 species